UUGGAGUUUUUACAUAGUUUCAAAAUAUAUCCAUUUAUACAGUACAGCUAGAGGAUUAUUUACUUUUUUCCCAGUUGUUCUUUUAUCCGAAUCCUACUUUUCCAUGACUUCUAGUUUUAGAAUACUCAUAAUGCAGUAUUUGGCGAAAAAUAUCGUAAAUAUAUAAUUUCAUAUAAUCGUAUUAAACGUUCUUUUCUUUUUUCAAGAUAACAUGGAUAAAGACAUUUCAGUAUACAUGUAUUAUUUGAAGUAACUUUUGAAAUCUUACUAUCAUAAUUUUAACCUCUAGUUAUCUUUAUUAAUUUAUCUCUUGUAUCAGAAGCAUCUUGAAAGAUUAGCUCUUAUGUGCAAAAGUACGAAUUUAUCUAAGUUAAAUACAUAAUUAGUGUUUAAUGUAAUAUUCGAACUAACAAUACAUGUUUGUUACUGGAUUUUUUGUGGAAAUGAACGUGAAGGUUGCUGAUCUAGUUUUACAUACAGCUUUACUAGUGGUUUGUAUUUGUGCCACUGGCAUGGCCGCAAGUGCGAACGACGACUGGCACUUUGACGGUCAUAAUAUAGCAUUCCACAAAAAUGUCAGUCAGCUACCCGAAACGUACUGUGACGAUGAUCAGUCUCAUAAAUGUUAUCCCGCAAG